rnacentral:rRNA from 1 species
AUUGAACGCUGGCGGCCUGCCUUACACAUGCAAGUCGAACGGCGGGUCGGGCUUCGUUCUCGCGGCGAUUGGUCCACGGGUGAGUAAUACACCCGAACGUGCCCAGCAGUGGGGGCAAGCUCGGCGAAAGCCGCCUUAAUCCCGCAUCAGACCUGAAGGUGAAAUCGGGGGAUCUUUGGACCUCGCCCUCCUGGACCGCCCGAGGGCCGAUUAGCUAGUUGGUGGGGUAAAGGCCUACCAAGGAGACGAUCUGUAGCUGGUCUGAGAGGACGACCAGCCACACUGGAACUGAGACACGGCCCAGACUCCGACGAGAGGCAGCAGUGGGAAAUUUUGGACAAGGAGCGAAAGCCUAACCCAGCAAUGCCGCGUGUGUGAUGAAGGCCUUGGGGUUGUAAAGCACUUUUGGCGGGAACGAAAAGGACUGUGGGAAAGUCUGGGUUCGAUGACGGUCCCCACAGAAUGAGCAACGGCUAACUACGUG